AGUCGAGGGGUAUAGGUUUUCGGACCUAGAGACCGGCGCACGGGUGCGUAACGCGUAUGCAAUCUACCUUUUACAGAGGGAUAGCCCAGAGAAAUUUGGAUUAAUACCUCAUAGUAUUAUUGAAUGGCAUCAUUUAAUAAUUAAAGUCACAACGGUAAAAGAUGAGCAUGCGUCCCAUUAGCUUGUUGGUAAGGUAACGGCUUACCAAGGCAACGAUGGGUAGGGGUCCUGAGAGGGAGAUCCCCCACACUGGUACUGAGACACGGACCAGACUCCUACGGGAGGCAGCAGUGAGGAAUAUUGGUCAAUGGGCGCAAGCCUGAACCAGCCAUGCCGCGUGCAGGAUGAAGCAUCUAUGGUGUGUAAACUGCUUUUGUACGAGAAGAAACACUCCUACGUGUAGGAGCUUGACGGUAUCGUAAGAAUAAGGACCGGCUAACUCCGUGCCAGCAGCCGCGGUAAUACGGAGGGUCCAAGCGUUAUCCGGAAUCAUUGGGUUUAAAGGGUCCGUAGGCGGUUUUGUAAGUCAGUGGUGAAAGCCCAUCGCUCAACGGUGGAACGGCCAUUGAUACUGCAAGACUUGAAUUAUUAGGAAGUAACUAGAAUAUGUAGUGUAGCGGUGAAAUGCUUAGAGAUUACAUGGAAUACCAAUUGCGAAGGCAGGUUACUACUAAUGGAUUGACGCUGAUGGACGAAAGCGUGGGGAGCGAACAGGAUUAGAUACCCUGGUAGUCCACGCCGUNAACGAUGGAUACUAGCUGUUCGGAGCAAUCUGAGUGGCUAAGCGAAAGUGAUAAGUAUCCCACCUGGGGAGUACGUUCGCA
rnacentral:rRNA from 1 species